GUCUGCAGCUCUGAAAGGCUCCAAGGUGAUGCUGCUGCCUCUUAACACCACACCCAGUCAUGCACAGGCCCCCGAAACCUGUACACAGUGCUGCCCCCUGCUCCAGCAUGCCAAAGUUCAAGACUCCCAGAGCCACAAGUCACUUGUUAAUUAAUGGCACUAAUUAGCAGGGAAGAAGCUGGACAUCUGGACCCUCUCAUGGAUAUCAUAGAGCACAAUGCCACAGACCCAGAUGG